UCCUGAGCAAAGCCGAGAAACUUCUUAGG
rnacentral:piRNA from 1 species